CUAAGAUAAAAUUUACCAUUUUGACUAUUUUAAGUUUAUAUUUAAAGUGUAUGUUUCUGUGGCAUUAAGUGCAUUGACAUGGUGCAGCUAUCACCACCACCCACUCCCAUCCCUAAGCGCUCUUUCACCUUUUUCAGUGGAAACUUGUUACCAACAGAACAUGAAGCCCCCGUCCUGUCAUCCCGCCAGUGCCUGGUAGCCGCCAUUUCUCCCAUCUUUCUCUGUGAAUUUCACUACUCUGGGACCUUAUGAGAUUAAAUUUUGAUGUGACUGGCCAUGUGACUGCAGAGCACUUGGACGCAAGUGAAUCAAGUGACAUUUAAGUAUUACAAAUAUGCUGGCCGCUCAUACCACCUCAAAGUAGCUGGCUGUUUUGGCUAACAUUCUACAUUUUCCAAGAAGAAGAAGACAAAGAAGAACUAAGAGGUCCUAAUCCAAGCAAAGGUCCCCAUACUUAAGCUUGUCUCUUUGUAAGUCUGCCUUUACAUAACAAACUAGAUUGCCUCCUUCAUUAGCUAAACAGCUAACUCGUCAACUUGUAGCAGUUUGGACUGGAAAGGCAGACGGUUAUUACUUCAAGCCUCAAGGUUUCACAGCAGGGAGAGCUUUUCUAUAUGAAGGCUGUGAAAGGAAGUCUCCAAGAUGACUCCUAUCAAGUCCUUCCUUCCUCAGACAUGUUCGCUGCUCCUCAUGUCAAGAGUGGCUUCCAAUUCCCAGUCCUCAGAUGUGAACUGAUUUCCUCAGUGAUUUUCUCAGCCAACAGAAUGUGGCAGCAAUGAUGUUUUGGGACUUCAGAGCAGCCUUGGAGCUUCUGCCUAGGGCUUCGAAACCCCUUGCUUUUGGAAUGGCUUCUCUCAGAAUACAUGCUUUUAGAAGGUGAAACCAGUUGGAUAGGCCGGUGGUGGUAAACCUAUGGCGCGGGUGCCACAGUGGGCUGUUUAUGCUAUUGAAAGCUCUAAAAGGUUCGCUCUCACUGCGAUAGGCUAGGUACUGCUGCCUCAGUCAAACUCUCAGCUGAAAGCCAACGUUACCUGGCAACCAUCAGAGUAAACCAUCUUGGAGUUCCAGCUCUGCCCAAUCUUCAGAUAAAUCUAACCCUACUGGCAUGUGAUUAUGAUCAAGCCAUCUUUGACUUCCAGUUCAGCCCAAUCUUCAGAGGAAUCUAACCCUACCAACAUCUGAUUGUGAACAUGUGAAAUAUCCCAAGAAAAAAGCAUCCAGCUAGGCUCAAACAAUAGGCCGCAGAACUAUGAAAGUCAAUCGUAAAUUGUUCUGUUAAGGCCCUAAACCUUGGAGGCUGUUUGUUUUGUAGUCAACAAAGGCACAUAGGAAUUUUGUAGUGGGAUAAGACAUUUUCAUGAUUAUAAGAAAGAACGUUUUUCCCUUGGUCCCUAUUUGUGCAUAAGUAGCAUUACCUUUGUUCCCUUCUUCCAGCAGGUAAAUACUAGGAAAACUUCCCUCUGGGGGAGUGGUGGUGAAAGACUUAUCCACAACCAAACAGUGGAUAAGUUUAAUUUGGGGACUAGAAGAGAAGAAUGAGAAGUCUAUUUUAACAUUAAAUCUAAACUAUGAUUUCCAAUCUAACUUUAUAGUAAUUGGUUCAGAAAACUCAAAGGAAAAGAUUUAAAAUUAUUUUUCUUCACAUCCCAACAAGUGUCUGCUUCCGUUCUUUUAGGCUAGAAAGCAAAGUCUUUGUAUGUACAUGUGCAUGCACAUUGAAUACUGAACCCAGAGCCUCACACAUGUUAAGCAUGCACACCAGCUCCAACUAACAUGUUUGAGAUUGUGGACAGUCCUGAGGAAGAACAUCCCUGCACCCACUGAGCAAUAACUUCAGCCCUGUGUUCUUUUCCUUCUUUUAAUUUUACUCUGCUUCCUCCUCUAAAUUAAAUCUACUACCUGCUUUUGUAGUUGUUUCUUUAUAGACAAGGUCUAAAUAAGUUGCCCACACUGACCUUGUAUUUGUGAUCCUCCAGCCUCAACCUCUCAAGUAGCUGGGACUAUAGGUAUGUGUCACCACAUCCAGCUACCAUCAAUUCAUGUUACAUUAAAAAACAAAAACUCUCCCUCAGAUAUAACUCCUUUCAGUUUUCACAGUCCCUAUCCUAGCUCAAUUCCUCACUGUCACACAGUUUCUGCCCUACAAUGGCUUCCCUGUCUGCAGCUCCUCAGCCCUCCAGGACCUCUGGGUCUCCAUGCUGUUAAAGGCUAAGAAAUCCCUUGGAUGUAGUUUAAGGACUUGCUAUGAUUUAGACUAAGAAUGACCCAUAAAACUCCCACAUGUUCAGAGGGCUUUUGGAAGGUGACUGGAUCGUAGAAGGCUACAGGUGAAUGUGACAUCAGGAGGCGGGGCCUGGUCAAAAGAGCUUGUCAGUGCACGACCUGGAAAGACCAGACCUCCCUCCCUGGCUCUUCUCUUUGCUCUCUGCUUCCUUGCUGCCACGACAUGACCAGUUUCCCUCUGCCCAAGCCUUUCCACCACGGUGUUUUGCCUUGGAGCCAGCCGACUAUGGAUGGAAACCUAAAAACUGUGGUACCAAAUAAA